rnacentral:rRNA from 1 species
UAGGGAAUCUUCGGCAAUGGACGAAAGUCUGACCGAGCAACGCCGCGUGAGUGAAGAAGGUUUUCGGAUCGUAAAACUCUGUUGUUAGAGAAGAACAAGGACGUUAGUAACUGAACGUCCCCUGACGGUAUCUAACCAGAAAGCCACGGCUAACUACGUGCCAGCAGCCGCGGUAAUACGUAGGUGGCAAGCGUUGUCCGGAUUUAUUGGGCGUAAAGCGAGGGCAGGCGGUUUCUUAAGUCUGAUGUGAAAGCCCCCGGCUCAACCGGGGAGGGUCAUUGGAAACUGGGAGACUUGAGUGCAGAAGAGGAGAGUGGAAUUCCAUGUGUAGCGGUGAAAUGCGUAGAUAUAUGAAUGAACACCAGUGGCGAGGGCGGCUCUCUGGUCUGUAACUGACGCUGAGGCUCGAAAGCGUGGGGAGCGAACAGG